rnacentral:lncRNA from 1 species
AUCAAAUUGUUUUCAUACCAACUGAGUGUUUCAUAGGAGGCAACAGAACCAGACUUUUCUUCUUGGGACUCAGUUUAAUCCCAUCGAGUUCAAACACAACGCUGAGCUUCCUGGCUCUCAAGGCAGGAGGCUCGGAGGGAGAUGUGAGACACUCCGGCCGGAGAGCAGCCCAGCCGUCGCCCCUCCUCACUUCCUCAACACCUUCUCAGAAGACAGGUCUUGCCUGGGAAACUCAGAAUGAAAUAACAGCCCCCUGAGGAAGCCAGAGGUUUGGCAAGGAGGCCAACUUAUGGCAGGGCCUUCGAGCCACAUCAAAAGGAUGGCGGGGAGCAAGGGAGGGUGAAGGGCACUCUGCUGUUUAAUAACAGGCACGCUAUUACAUGCCUUGGCUCUGUGCUUGAAUCGCAAUUCGUCCCUUUGACCUCAUGAACCAAAGCUGUGCAGCGGAAGUCUGAGGAAGGAAAGAAAGAUCCGUGUGGUGAAGAAUAAAUCUGGGGUUCAGUUGAGCAGAUUUUAACCAACUUAGAAAUUCAUCAGAAAGUUUCCAUGGGAAGAAGAUAGAAAGGACUAGGCAAGAAGGAACCAGUUU